UAACCCUAAUGUUCAAAAUAGCCGCCACCCCCUUCCAAACACACACACACGCGAACCGGGAAGGAGAGGGAGGAGAGCACGCCAGCCAGGGAGGGGCUGCUGCCUUGCGCCGCCAUCGCUCCUUAUCACCAGAGCUCGUGCCGUCGCUGCCAGUGCCGUCGCACAGUUGAGGGAGAGAAGCUUAUGAGAGGGACUUCGCGGAGGAGAAGAACUAAGCUGUCACCGUCCCUGGAGUUGCGAAUGCCACUGCCGUCACUACACGUUGCCGUCGAGCACCGUGAGGGAGACGAGAGAUGACGCGAUGCGAGGAAGAGGAGCUCGUCUUCGUCGUUGCUGAACCCGUUCCAGGCUGCUAUUGUGCCUUACUGCUGUGGUCGCCACCGUGGAGCUGAGAGGAGGGCGUGUCGUUGUCAGUGUGAGCCCACAGAGAUGGAGGAAACGCGACGGUGGUAGUGGGUGGUCACUGUGUUGCUGCCACUGCCAGGGUGCUCACUGGCAAGUGCUGCCGCUUCUGGAGCUCGCCAGAGUCAGCCGCUGGAGCUGUGGCUGCUCUAUUCAUGGUUUCCUUUUGUGCAUUUUGGAUAUUGCGGUUGGGCCGCUUGGAAAUUUCUGCAGUUGCCGCCACUGCUACAGAUUAACAUGAAAGGAGGGUUUAUCGCGUCAAAAUUGGUACGGGCUUAAUUCCUCAAGAUGCAGGUCCCAGCACUCUAUAAUGAGCGAGAGUCUUAUCUAGAAGAUGGUGAAGAAGACUUUUGUUUCUAUUUUGGUUUUAGAAUUCUCUUUCUUUUGGAAACACUUAUCUGAUGUAUUUAUUUUAAAGACGUGCCUAUAGAGGCUUAUGGUGUAUUUUUGGAGAUAUAGGUUAUGUAUGUCAAACUGUUUUACAGUUGUAACUCUAGCCGGGUUAAUUUUUGCGGGCCGAGACUAGUAAUAUUUAUAUAUGCUUAUAUAUGUCUCUUUACUCC